GAGGGUAUAGCUCAAGUGGUAGAGCACUUGCCUAGCACGCAUGAGGUCCUGGGUUCAAUCUUCAGGAUCUCCU
rnacentral:tRNA from 1 species